rnacentral:rRNA from 1 species
CCUACGGGGGGCUGCAGUGGGGAAUAUUGGACAAUGGGGGCAACCCUGAUCCAGCCAUGCCGCGUGUGUGAAGAAGGCCCUCGGGGUGUAAAGCACUUUCAGUGAGGAAGAACGCCUGGUGGUUAAUACCCAUCAGGAAAGACAUCACUCACAGAAGAAGCACCGGCUAACUCCGUGCCAGCAGCCGCGGUAAUACGGAGGGUGCGAGCGUUAAUCGGAAUUACUGGGCGUAAAGCGCGCGUAGGUGGCUUGAUAAGCCGGUUGUGAAAGCCCCGGGCUCAACCUGGGAACGGCAUCCGGAACUGUCAAGCUAGAGUGCAGGAGAGGAAGGUACAAUUCCCGGUGUAGCGGUGAAAUGCGUAGAGAUCGGGAGGAAUACCAGUGGCGAAGGCGGCCUUCUGGACUGACACUGACACUGAGGUGCGAAAGCGUGGGUAGCAAACAGGAUUAGAUACCCUUGUAGUC